UCGGGUAUGGUGUAGCGGUAACAUCGAUGACUCUCAAGCAGGACUCAUCAGCCCGGGGUUCGACUCCCCGUAUCCGAG